UUUGUUUUUAUUUUUUUUUCAUUUUCAUGCCAUAAAAUCCAUUUUAUGUUUAUUCAUUAAAAGGGUGAGAUCUCCAUGAGCAUCUCCAACUAGUAGAGCUGAGCUGGUCCUGUAUCAUGCAUUGCUUAAUAAAAUGACUCAAGAUAUCUCACUGAUUUCACUAUGUGUUAUACAUGGCAACGUUGACCCUUCAUAAUGCAUACUAAAAACUGCCGGAGCUGCUGGUCUC